GUUUAUUAAAAACGACCACAUUUCGAGGUGACCCGAUCAUACCUCAGUAAAAAAAGAUUGGCGGCGACUCUCGUUUUUCCAUUUUUGUUUUAAAACCCUAGUCGAUUCCCUGUUCUUCAAAAAAAUGGUUUCGACACAUAGGAUAAUCAAUUAUCCUUUCUAUAUCCUCAUUAUUGUUUACCAUGAAUCUUUGAGAAUUUUUUCUUUACUGUUCAUCUU
rnacentral:lncRNA from 1 species